UUCCUCAACUUCCACUACACUCGUGGCUCCCCGGACCCGUUUCCUACAUCGAUCAAUGGGAAAAGGUUUAUCCGACCUUCUGUACCGCUGCAGUUGCUACCUAGUGGUAAUGACACACACG